GUCCACGGUAGCUUAAGGACAUGGCAUCUGCCCGGUAAGCGGAAAACUGUGGGUUCGAUUCCCAUCCCUGGACA